CGAGCACGCGCGUGUGGCAUAUCAAUAAGCGGAGGAAAAGAAACUAACAAGGAUUCCCUUAGUAACGGCGAGUGAAGCGGGAAGAGCUCAAAUUUGAAAUCUUCAAGGUUCUACCUUGACGAAUUGUAGUUUAUAGAAGUGUUUUCUGUUAGUGGAGUGGCAAAAGUUCUUUGGAAUAGGACAUCAUAGAGGGUGAGAAUCCCGUAUUUGGUCAUUCCUCCUAGCGUUGUGAUACACUUUCAACGAGUCGGAUUGUUUGGGAAUGCAGUCCAAAAUGGGUGGUAAAUUUCAUCUAAAGCUAAAUAUUGGCGAGAGACCGAUAGCGAACAAGUACCGUGAGGGAAAGAUGAAAAGAACUUUGAAAAGAGAGUUAAACAGUACGUGAAAUUGUCAAAAGGGAAGCGUUUGACACCAGUGUUGUUUUUCCGAAAAUCAAUUACGAAUGUUUUAGUUUUUGAGGAGUUAUGACUUCAUCGGCUUGCUCCUUUCUUUAUGAAACUUUCUUAAUGCACUUUUCGGUUAACAAGUCAACAUCAAUUUCUUUUGUUGUAAAAGGGUAUGAGGAAGGUGGCUUUCUUUUCGGAGAAAGUGUUUAUAGCCUUGUGCCUCUACAAUCGGAGAGAUUGAGGUCUGCAGCGUAGAUCCUUCGGGGUUAGAUACGUUUGUGCUAAGUUAUAGCUUUUCAUAGACAACUUGUUGACUAUGUUUAGUCUUGUAGCUUACUCGCUGACGCUAUUUUACCUACGCUUAGGAUGUUGAACUCUAUCACACACAG
rnacentral:rRNA from 1 species